UGCAAGUUCGAACGAUGAAGCCCAGCUUGCUGGGUGGAUUAGUGGCGAACGGGUGACCCUCACAUGGGUGAUCUGCCCUGCACUUCGGGAUAAGCCUGGGACCUUGGGUCUAAUACCGGAUAGGACGUUCUGCCGCAUGGUGGGGGGUGGAAAGGUUUUCCGGUGCAGGAUGGGCCCGCGGCGUAUCAGCUUGUUGGUGGGGUAACGGCCCACCAAGGCGACGACGGGUAGCCGGCCUGAGAGGGCGACCGGCCACAGCUGGGAUUGAGACACGGCCCAGACUCGUACGGGAGGCAGCAGUGGGGAAUAUUGCACAGUGGGCGCAAGCCUGAUGCAGCGACGCCGCGUGAGGGAUGACGGCCUUCGGGUUGUAAACCUCUUUCAGUACCGACGAAGCGCAAGUGACGGUAGGUACAGAAGAAGCACCGGCCAACUACGUGCCAGCAGCCGCGGUAAUACGUAGGGUGCGAGCGUUGUCCGGAAUUACUGGGCGUAAAGAGCUCGUAGGCGGUUUGUCGCGUCGUCUGUGAAAACCCGCAGCUCAACUGCGGGCUUGCAGGCGAUACGGGCAGACUUGAGUACUGCAGGGGAGACUGGAAUUCCUGGUGUAGCGGUGAAAUGCGCAGAUAUCAGGAGGAACACCGGUGGCGAAGGCGGGUCUCUGGGCAGUAACUGACGCUGAGGAGCGAAAGCGUGGGUAGCGAACAGGAUUAGAUACCCUGGUAGU
rnacentral:rRNA from 1 species